rnacentral:piRNA from 1 species
UACUAUUGCGGGACCUCCACUGUCACAGG